rnacentral:lncRNA from 1 species
GUUUUAAACUGCUCUGAAAGGAAGGCACCAUGGUAGUCACUAUAAAUCAGAAGUGAUUGUGCUCUCAAUCUGUCUGACCUUCUGUUUUCCACUGAUGUACAGAAUUUAUUUUUCUUGUUUCUAAAGUUCACAUUGACUCAAUUUAUGGAUUUCUGCACAACAGUAAUCAAACUAUAGCCUCAGUGUAUAUAAGGUCAGGAACUAUAAUUUUAAUUAAAAUAGGGGGCUAUAAGGUCACAAAGUUAGUCAUAAGGUUAGUAGAGCAGGUAUAUUUUAGAAGUAUUUUUACUAAGCUUUCUAUGUUAUCAACAGGGCAUUAGGAGAUAAAAUAAGAAGGUAAAGCAAGAAAGGGAAGUGGAUUGGGGGAAAGGAUAGACAUACUUUUAAGCUUAAAAAAGAGGGCCUUGCGUAGAAUUCAAGUUGGUGAGACCUAGAGGGGUAUUGGAGGCAGGCAAAAGGAAAUGGGAGAGAGCAGGAAGGGAAAAAUAAACAAGUCAUUUAUGUAUCAUGUACUACGCAUCCACUGUUCUGGAUGCUUUCCCAAAU